AACGAACGCUGGCGGCGUGCCUAACACAUGCAAGUCGUGCGAGAAAGUUCCUUCGGGAGCGAGUAAAGCGGCGCACGGGUGAGUAACACGUAGGUAACCUGCCCCCCAGUCUGGAACAACUAGAGGAAACUCUAGCUAAUGCCGGAUGAGACCACGAUCCCUUCGGGGGUUGCGGCCAAAGAUGGCCUCUACUUGUAAGCUAUCGCUGAGGGAUGGGCCUGCGGGCCAUUAGCUUGUUGGUGAGGUAACGGCUCACCAAGGCUGUGAUGGCUAGCUGGUCUGAGAGGAUGACCAGCCACACUGGGACUGAGACACGGCCCAGACUCCUACGGGAGGCAGCAGUGGGGAAUAUUGCGCAAAUGGGCGAAAGCCUGACGCAGCGACGCCGCGUGGGU
rnacentral:rRNA from 1 species